UUGAAUACGACCAAGAUGGCCAUCACAACACCAAAAUCUCAAUCUCCCCAGAGCAACCCACACAUCACCACCACGUUUUAGACAACGCCAAAGACAGGAUCAGAGAGGCUGCCUCCGUUCUCCCUAACGUCGGUCAAGGCAUUUCACAACCGGAAGAUGCGGCUUUUCUGCAUGCCCCUAAAGAGCUCGUUUGCGAUGCCUACGGAAGAUGCAAGCAAAGAAUCGCGGAUGCCAUGGAGAAGACCAAGGACAAGGCUCAAGAGGCCCUCCAG
rnacentral:lncRNA from 1 species